CCUACGGGAGGCAGCAGUAGGGAAUCUUCCACAAUGGACGAAAGUCUGAUGGAGCAACGCCGCGUGAGUGAAGAAGGGUUUCGGCUCGUAAAGCUCUGUUGGUAGUGAAGAAAGAUAGAGGUAGUAACUGGCCUUUAUUUGACGGUAAUUACUUAGAAAGUCACGGCUAACUACGUGCCCGCAGCCGCGGUAAUACGUAGGUGGCAAGCGUUGUCCGGAUUUAUUGGGCGUAAAGCGAGUGCAGUCGGUUCAAUAAGUCUGAUGUGAAAGCCUUCGGCUCAACCGGAGAAUUGCAUCUGAAACUGGUAGACUUGAGUGCAGAAGAGGAGGGUGGAACUCGAGGUGUAGCGGUGGAAUGCGUAGAUAUAUGGAAGAACUCCAGUGGCGAAGGCAGCUCUCUAAUCUGCAACUGACGCUGAGGCUCGAAAGCAUGGGUAGCGAACAGGAUUAGAUACCCCAGUAGUC
rnacentral:rRNA from 1 species